ACAUGUGAACAUACAAGACUAAAAGAGGUGAAUUUAAUCCAGUGAAGCCGUUGAGCGCUCCAAUGCUCCCUGCAGCAACGCAUUCACACUGGUUUAACUGGGCCACUGGUUGAAGUCCUCCUCCUUUUACCAACACGUUUUACCACUCAGUUCUCAGGCAAUGUGAGCACAAAACCGCUGCAUGCAUUAUUUACACCGGGGGAAUUAUUAGGUCCGUGCUGUAGUUUAGCGAGAAGCCGUAUUUUUUUCCGAGGAAAAAAAAAACUAUUUACUUUGUAUGUUUUCAGAAAAGAAUUGAUCAUCUAUAAGCAAUAAGCUCCCAGCAGUAGAGUCAUUUGUGUUCCAAGAGGAGAAAUCGGUGUAAUACUUCUGAGGAGGGCAGAAGCUCCGGGGGGGGGGGGGGGGUCUCGCAAAAACAGAAUUGCAGCGCACUCAACAAAGCAGGGCUCCUAAUUCAGAAUAAAUGCAAGCAGGGGCACUAAAACGCAGAGAUAAUCCCAAUGUUUGGCUGAAAGCAGGAGCACGCGGUACAUAACACCACUUAUAUUCUCACAGCAGCGUACUCUGUGUGCCUCAUGCAUCAUGCUAAGAGGCCAUUUCUAUAGAUCCCGGCCUCGUGUGGCACCAUGUCUGACCCUAAUCGCCCUCUGUCUCUGGCUGUCUGUCUCCAAAUGUCCCCCCUUCCUCUACGUCCUCCAGACUCUUACUGGGAAAUAAUGGCAUCAGUCUCGUGUCCGUCUGUGGAAAAUGACCAUGGCGGCCAUUACUUUCCCCAGAGUCCUCGCGACCGAACCCAGAACCCACCAGAGCGACCACGGAGACGGAGUCAUUGGUGCUCCAGCCUGGACCCCAAAUACUCAUUAAGCUAACGCACCAUCAUUAAGCACGUUGUCCGACGUUAUUAAUCUCAGAGGAGCCUUGAAAAAGCUUUCAGCGGGAGGCCGGCGCUGCACAGUCUGAGCGUCCGUCUGUCACAGCCAGUCAGGUGGUAAAUGGAAUAUAAAUAUAUAUAUAUCAUAGGCUAAAUGGCAUCAGAGGAGAGGAAACCACUUGCCCUCCUGGAUCUCCCGGUCUUUCUGACAGGCGCUGAUGGCAUUAGGGUUUGUGAAGACGUUUCGUUGCUUCACUCCAGCGUCUCAGGGCCGAGUUGUGAUUGGAUGGAAACGGGCCGUGAGGCGCUGACAGGCUCGCUGGUAACAGUAAACACGAGUCCCUUUGUUUGCACAACAAUUUCUCAAUUUCAACAAAACCAUCGGCGGAAACGGCCAUGCGAGGUGAUGCGAGGCCAACUCCACUCAAGCUGAUAUCUUCCCUCUAUUUCACACAAAUACUUUCCUCCGCUUGUCUGUUGGAUUUAUUUCUGUCUCCACAAGCUGCUUUCAUUCAAAACAAGUACAUUCCUAUCAAGACAUGUCUCCCACUCCUUCCCCGUCCUCCCCUCCUCCUCCCAGAACGGGGUUUUCACAGCAGAUCGUGUUCCCACAGAAAUGAAAUGCCGUCGAAUGGAGACGUGAGCACCACCUGAAACAUCAGCACCUGAAACAUCAGCACCUGAAACAUCAGCACCUGAAACAUCAGCACCUGAAACAUCAGCACGCAUCGUCCACGCGUCACCUCGAGGACCCGUGAGAUCGGUCACAUGUCGCGUUUAUUCAGCUACAUUUCACCGUCUAACGUUUCAUUCAUCAAAUAUUGAGGUCCAGCGACGACGUGUUGUAAUAAAGUUUUGAGUUUGUUUGUUUGUUGUUGGUUUGAACCCGACAUUCAAAGCGGUCUUACUGGUGGCAGUUUAACUGUGUGGAGUGACAUCCCUCCAGCGCCACCGGUGGGUCGGACGUCUGUAGAGGGUCACCAGCGCUGAGCUGACGGACCGGAUGGAGCCGAGGAGAAGCUCGCACACUGAAGAACCCUUCGGCCGGAGGAGCUCCCCUCACAGCUCCAAUGGCUGCAUCUCAUUUCAUUUCCAUCUCAGUAAAAUGAGCCAAUGUAGCCUCCAGUAUGUGACACAAUAACAUUAAAAGAAAUGGAUACAAUGCCAUAAAACCUUUCAGGGCCAUUUUGUGAAAAUGGGCAAACGCAGCUGCUGAAAGAGAAGCUCAACUUUGGAAUUUACCGCCAUCCUGCUCCUGGACGAACGUCUCCAAAAUGAGGUUUACACUCCGACAGCUUCACAGCAAACAGGAAUUUCCCAGAGACUUAAAGGUUAUUUCAUGUGGCAUUUCCUUUUCAUAAGAGCGAUGGAGGCGAGAGAUGUGAGGAAAGACUGCAGGACAGAGGAGCUUUGAGAGGCUCAGCAGCCUGGGCAGAAAUCACCACAAUACACCUGACGUGCCUUUUCUAAACUCGUGUUGGAUUAAGUGGAAUAGACAUGAGGAAUGUCGACACUUCUAGCGAGGGAAACCACUGCGGUUAACCUUUCUACGCAUCCACAAGAAAAGGGGCCACAUUGGCUUCCACCUGCCGCACGUUGCUGCCCACCUGCGCUCAAAUGCAGCUCACGUGUCAAGAACCCCUCGAUGGAGGCGACAGGUCAGAAUGUUAAGUGCAGCAAACAAAUAGGAUGUGAACCUGCACUUGCAAAGGGACAACGCCUGCUGGAAAUGUGUAAACUGAAGCAGCAAGUCUCUGGUCUCUAAAAGGAUAUCACUUGACGAAGACUUGAGAUGGAGACCAUAAACUCAUGUUUAGGGAGGUGCAGCCCCAUGGGAGAAGGGGGGUCCGGAGAUGAUGGUGUUUUGUGGUUGUUUAUCCUCAUGUGACGUAAUUAAUGUAUCCUGUUUGUUGAAACAAUUGUAUUCGUGGAGAGGUACCAGAGCCCAAUGAAACGGGGGGGGGGGAAGUGACGUGGCGAGGAGGCCGGCGGGAGGAAGAGAGACGCGGGACGUGAGGAGCGGAAAGGGGAGAGUUUGGGGAAAGAGCGAGGAGGGACGGGUUUGGCGGAGCAGAGAACAGAGGGGAGAGAGAGAGAGAGAGAGAGAGAGUGGGCGAGUAGCCAACCCGGUGACGGAGUCCACUAUCGGUCCCCGGACUCGGAUAACUGGAGGAGGAGGAGGCUGGGAGACGGUCGGGUGGAGGAGCGGAGGAGAGGAGGCUGGGAGACAGUCGGGUGGAGGAGGAGAGGAGGCUGGGAGACGGUCGGGUGGAGGAGGAGAGGAGGCUGGGAGACGGUCGGGUGGAGGAGCGGAGGAGGCUGGGAGACGGUCGGGUGGAGGAGGAGAGGAGGCUGGGAGACGGUCGGGUGGAGGAGCGGAGGAGGCUGGGAGACGGUCGGGUGGAGGAGGAGAGGAGGCUGGGAGACGGUCGGGUGGAGGAGGAGAGGAGGCUGGGAGACGGUCGGGUGGAGGAGGAGAGGAGGCUGGGAGACGGUCGGGUGGAGGAGGAGAGGAGGCUGGGAGACGGUCGGGUGGAGGAGCGGAGGAGGCUGGGAGACGGUCGGGUGGAGGAGCGGAGGGAUCAGGACUCAUGGAGGUGGAGGCAGUCAGACUCUCCAGGGAGGCCGGAUGGGAGAAAAACCUGCAGCUGUGUAAUUAGUCAGCAAGCAGUCGUUCAGUGAGCAGAGAAUCAGACAAACAGCAGAGCUGCUCGUGUGCAGCUGAGAGGGAAGAACACAGAAGGGAAAUGUUUCCUGUUCCAUGUCUUUUGAGGGGGGGGGGCGGCAUAAAGGCCGAGGCAGGAGGUGAAAGAGGGGAGGUGAUUGUUGAUAAAGCUCCUCAGAAUAAAUGAUCAUUUUGUUUUCAUCUGCACUUUAUUCACUUUUUUCAUCUCUGAAAUAUGAAUUUGAGAUACCUUGAAUAAAUGGAGGAGAUGAAGGUAUUCUUUGCUCCCAUGUUUCUCGCCCCACAACCCUGGUAGAAUGUGCAUGUGCGUGUGCGUGUGCGUGUGUGCUCCAGUGAUGUGUCCUUCUUCACCCUGACAACGAUGUUAGAGAAGCUAUAAAGGGUUUACUCCACUAACUGUCUCUCCUCACACACACACACACACACACACACACACACACACACACACACACACACACACACAGAGACACACACACACACACACACACACACUAAGUCACAGGGAGACAGAUAAUCAAACACUGUUACUGUCCUUUCUCGUGUAGAACGUGAAUCCUUCCAUCAACGUUAUUGCUGAAGCCAUUUCCAGGGUGGUGACAUGAAUGAAAAGAAAAGACCACAUUCCACGUGAUUACAUUACAUGCGUGUGUGUGUGUGUGUGUGUGUGUGUGUGUGUGUGUGCGUGUCCUUGCUCAGGUGUGGACAUUUAAUCUGUUCGUGAUAGAGAGAUUGAUUUGCUGCAUAGAUUUUCCUCAGUUCUCACACACAAUCGGCAUAGAAUGAAUUGACUGUGUCCGUGUCACCCUUCACCUAUAGGAGGCGUGUGCAGUACAUCCACACAUGAUUUCACAAUGUCAAGACGACGUUGUAAAAUCCAUAACAGAGUCCAGAGUCCUUGAAUCAGGCCCAUCGCUGCUCUGCUUCUGGAGAACAUCCAAAGCCAAUGAGUUUUCAUUGGUGCCACAUUGAAGAUCCCACCGUGAGAACCAGCUGCUUCGGUCUCUAUGUCACGAGUCCAUCUCGGAGGGAGAGGAAGUGGCCCUCGCUCCCCGCCUCCGUCUCUCCCCCAGGACGUCCAGUUCAACCCCUCCGCCACCCGGUUCCCCCGUGGGGAGACCGCGUCUGCCUGGGCGGUGAUCACGGUCCAGUGGACCACAGCGUCUACAUCAUAGUCGUGUACUUUUUAAUGUGGAUGUUUCUCUUUCAAGUUGUGACGAUGCAUCUUCAAGACACCAUGUUGGAUGUGGCGGGCGUUGUCUUUCCCCGUGAAGACAGAAGCUUGGGAGUCUUGUUUGACCUGCUUCUUUCUGUGGAAAAAGUCUCGUUUUAGUCUCUGCAGUAAGAGAGACACAAGAUGCUCUCCUUGGAGACGAUGAAGUGUCUUCUAGCCGGCGCUACAAAGGACGUGCUGAAGCUAUUGAGAACCACAUAUAUUUUAAGUCGAUUUGUGUUGCUAAGCGGCCAGGUAAGAUCCCGAAGGACACCUGGGGCCCAGAGGAGCGAGGCCUUCGACCGGCCCGGCUCUGCACAGAUUGAAGCGUCCAUUGCUGGUCACCUCUUCUUGUUUCACCCGUGGGGCUUCAUCCUGUGGGCGGUUUUUAUUUGCUUCGAGUUCAGCUCGCUUCCAUCUUCAUCUCACCUGCACACAUUUCCACAGUGAUUUGGAUGAAUUCUGCGUGUCCUCUCGGGUGAUCCGGUGAAUUCUUCGGCCACUGAAGGACGGAAUCUUAAGGUUGACAGAAGCGUGACGUCCGCACCGCAGUGAACACAUGCGCAUCUAUUCUCACGUUCCCGUGCGGGACUGAACUUGGUGUUGGUCUGUUCUCAGUGUGGUGGGAGAAACCGGCGCCAUGUACACGGGUGACGUGCUGCAUCUGUCCUUUGCGGAACACCAGCUUGGAUGCAGACAAAGGAGCCGGUGGGCGUCAAAAUUCAACGCUCACGGCGACUGGAAGUCGAGCUUCAAACCCGACAGCUUCCAGCCUCACCGGCAACCUCGAAAAUAGACCAACAAAGCCCGUGAGUGGUCGGUGUUUACAUCACGCCUCCUUCCCAUGGAAACACACGCCAGGCACACACAAUGCACAGCGCACACGCCUGCAGAUGGAAACACCGACUAUUGCAUGUGAUUCCAUCCUGAAAUGCUGAGAAACACGCCGAAAAACAAACGCGUCUUGCAAAACGUGGAACUAUUUUCCAUUUGAAGUGCAAAGUGCUCAUCACGGGGAUGAUGUCAUCCAUGCGGUCUGACUGAGUCGCGUCACCUUCAAUACUCGAUAAUAUCGAUUCCACCAUGAAACUACAACAGCAUCACGGCUCAAAGGUCUCAGCUGCUCCUCUUGAUUCACUCUCGUGAGUUUUUAACUUUUACUGGUUGAACUCAAGCACGUCUCAUCCAAGCAGAUAAAAAACAGAUUCACUAGAAGGGCAAUGAAACAAGGUCGCACCAGACGCUAGAUGUUAUAUGACAGGUAAUAUAAGGCCAGUUAGCAAUAAAUAGGAAAUACUGUUCAUAUAUAAACUUGUGACAGAAAACGUGUGAGAUGAGACCAAGAGGUUAAAAGCUUUAUAUAUCAAACCGCCUUGCUGGUGAUGUAAUGGAAGAAAACACGGAGAUGUUUAAUCACCGGAUCACACACUGAGAAACACAAAGGAGCAGAACGGAUGAACGUGGAUCUAAAACACACAUAUUAUUGAGAAAUAACAAAAAUGAAGACAUAGCUGUAAAAUUGUGGAAUUGUUUCAGAGAAAAACAAAUAAUGAAUAUAAUGACCCCCUGAAAUACAGCAGAACUCUUGCUAAGUGGAUGUGAGCUGCUGAGAUGUAAUUACAUUGUGUUAGUUUGUUAUAAUGGAGCAGCUAAUGUCAAAUUAUUGUAUCUUUUAUUAAUGAUUAACAUGCAAGCUUGUGGUCAAUUUAUAAUUUCAACAAAAGUGACAAGAUAAGAAAUGGUUUUAGUCAAAGAAAUGGAACGAGGAAGAGAUGAAGCACCAUCCCUGUUCCCGACUACGGUUGUUUCUUCAUUUAUUGAUACGUCUGAUGUACUUUCUGAGUCCUGUGUGUAAAGCUCCCCCCUCCCUUCUGCUCCCCUCUGUUACAUUUUAAUAUGAUGGAAAGAGGGCCAAUUCCAGAUGUGUAACCUCCAUGUUUUAAUAAUGGGACGGCUCCCAGCGUGCAUUUAAUCACACACACUAGCAGACACACACGGCCACCGAGAAAUAAACUACUUUGUCCAAAUCCCUGUGAGAUAAAAGUUUGGCUCUUCUAAGCUGCCGACUCAAAUUUUGGCAGGUUUCCAUCGUUGGUCGAAUAAACUCUUCUCCCGCGUGGUUCUGAGCGUUAGACUCCUGAUGGAUGAUGAAAUCCCCCUUUAAACCGAGGCUGCAAACACGACACUAGAGUCUCCAACGGCGUGUAGUCAUCCUCAGGAGAUGAAGACACGCCUCCACGCGGUUUGGGAAUAUCAGAAGACGACGACAAAGCAGAAACAAAUCAGUCACGUGAGCUAAAAGAACGUGAGAACUUCUUCUAGAGCCUCAUUCCUUCUUCAAUGAAGGCCAAAAAAACAUCUCAAACAAAUGUGUACAUAUUACGUGAGGAGCGUGCACAAGACAUCCGCCCCCUGGUGGUCAUUAGACAACGCAGCUUUAACGUUACCUUCACACACAAAGAUGAAUGGAAGAACAGCUCCCUCCCU
ensembl:lncRNA